GUGCCAGCCGCCGCGGUAAUACCGGCAGCCCGAGUGAUGGCCGAUCUUAUUGGGCCUAAAGCGUCCGUAGCUGGCUGCGCAAGUCCAUCGGGAAAUCCACUCGCCCAACGAGUGGGCGUCCGACGGAAACUGCACAGCUUGGGACCGGAAGGCUCGAAGGGUACGUUCGGGGUAGGAGUGAAAUCCCGUAAUCCUGGACGGACCGCCGAUGGCGAAAGCACGUCGCGAGAACGGAUCCGACAGUGGGGGGCGAAAGCCAGGGUCUCGAACCGGAUUAGAAACCCCGGUAGUCC
rnacentral:rRNA from 1 species